rnacentral:lncRNA from 1 species
GCGGCACAGCAGCGCGCGAGCUCAACGGUCGGGCUGCGGCACGGCGCCUGCGCGCAGGCGGGGCUAGGGGCGGGGUGCUCCUCGCGCGGGGGCUACUGCAUCGCCCCCCUCGGGGGGGGGGGCGGGCGUGGUGCUCCUCGCCGCCUCGGCUGCGCCGCGCCCUCCAGCCUGGGCUCCUCGCUGCUGCCCGCGGCCCGCAGGAGUUAGAGCAGACUGCCCCCGCGGGACACGGUGCAUCCCGCCCCGGCCCUCCUACCCGCUCUGCGGGAGGGGUCGGCACACGCCGCACCCCUCCGCUACGAGGGGGAUGAGAGCAAUGGAAAUCUGCCGGCAUGAUCAGCACAUGAUGUCCCAAGAGCAUGGUAUGAUGGUGCUUUUCCGAUUAAAUGCUUACCCUAUAUAAAUAAUUAUUUAUGUUUGAAUUUAGAAUAACUUAACCUAUUGAGAAAUUGAUCUCUUUCACAUGCUGUUAAUUUAAUUCUGCAGAGAGAAAUGAUCGGUCUUGUUAUUUAAAUCUUUGCCUUUGUGUUGCCCAUUCAUUCACUUCCAGAAUGAAUGUGGUGUCAAAAAAGGCAAACAACAAUUCUUGCUAAAACUGUUUUAAGGAGUUGGUUUAUUUACCUUUCUCCUYCCUGGUUUUGCAAGGACAGAAAAAAAAGUCUCUUAGAGGUUAUAUGGUUUAGUUUAUAUGAUUGAACAAUUACAUAGUACAUUUUAUGUUUUAGUCUUUCUAAGUUUUAAGUCUUUCUAAGAAUCUGACAGUCAUUAGAAAAGGAAAAUAAUAUAAUAGUUUAAUGUCUACUUUUAGCAUUAUUUAGCUAUCCCGACUGUAAGGAUAACCUUUAGUGCUAUGCUGCAAGUAAUUACUUUAUAGCAUUGCGUUUUGUUUGUUUUUUAACUCCUUUGGGGUCUGUUAAAGUAAGCUUAGGUUAACGUUAAGGAACUUAACACUGUACCUAAAACUUUCAUUGCAGUUCUGAAAGUAGUUUUAGCGUUGCUCUUAAAACAAUACAAAAAGAUGGCAAGAAUUGGGGCUAUAUGUAUUUGUUGGAAUAACAUAUAUUUUAUAUAGUGGAAAAAAGAAUGGAUAAAAAGUUGCAGCUGAUGUGCACAGAUCGUGCUGCACUGUGGUGAGAAUUUUCUCUGUCCAUUGGAUAAAAUGGAGGUCUCCAUGUGGUCAAGGGGUUUAGCAAUAAUGCAAGGUUUUUCUUUAACUGUGCAGGUUUAGGGCAGGUGUCCCCUCCCCCCACCCUUCUUCCUAGUAGUAAACAUUAGAAACUUUGAGAGACUCUCCUCCACAAAUUUAAAUCAGCAAUGGCUUUUUAAUGCGCAGCUAACUCUUACUACAAAGCUACAUGGAACAGUCUAGUAUCAAAAAGAUGGCAGGCAUAUCAGGCCUAGACUUUUUCUAAUGUUGAAGCAACAGAAGUAUCAAUGUUGCAAGCCAAUAAAAUAUAAAGCAGUCUUGCA